AUUUGUUAUAGCUUCAAGACAUUUAGAGUGAAGAACUAAGGAUUUAUCCUUCACCUCUUCAUCAUCCUUCAUCAGGAGCAACUAAGGUUAUUGAGAAAAUGUGGAGGUUGAAGAUAGCAGAUGGAGGGAAGAGUCCUUACAUAUUCAGCACAAACAACUUUUUAGGAAGGCAAAUAUGGGAGUAUGAUUCUGAAGCAGGAACUGAUGAAGAACGAGCACAGGUUGAAGCAGCUCGUCAACAUUUCUAUCAAAAUCGCUUUCAGCAAAAGGCAUGUGCUGAUCGACUUUGGCGAUUUCAGAUUUUGAGGGAAAAAGAAUUCAAACAAACAAUAAGCAAAGUGAAGAUAGAAGAUGAUGAGGAAAUUACAUGGGAGAAGGCUACUCAGACCAUAAAGAGGGCUUCUCAUUACCUUUCUGCACUGCAAACUAGUGAUGGUCAUUGGCCUGCUCAACUCGGGGGUUCUAACUACUUCGUUCCUGUAAUGAUCAUCUCCAUCUACAGUACAGGACAUCUUGAUACUGUAAUUUCAAAAGAACAUCGUAAAGAAAUUCUCCGUUACUUGUAUAAUCAUCAGAACGAAGAUGGAGGGUGGGGAUUACACAUAGAAGGUCCAAGCACAAUGUACGGUACCGCAUUCAAUUACGUAACUAUGAGAAUUCUUGGAGAAGGACCCAAUGGAGGUCAUAACAACGCUUGCGCUAAGGCCAGAAACUGGAUUCAUGAUCAUGGUACCAUAACACUUAUGCCUUCGUGGGGAAAAUUUUGGCUUUCGGUACUUGGUAUUGUUGAUUGGAGUGGAUGCAAUCCAAUGCCCCCUGAAUUUUGGAUACUUCCUACUUUUCUUCCCAUGCAUCCUGCUAAAAUGUGGUAUUAUUGUCGACAUGUAUACAUGCCCAUGUCAUAUAUAUAUGGGAAAAGAUUCGUGUGUCCAGUCACUCCAUUAAUCACAGAUUUGAGAGAAGAACUCUUUACUGAACCUUACGAUGAAAAUACUUGGAAAAAAGCUCGACACAAAUGUGCAAAGGAAGAUCUGUAUUAUCCGCAUCACUGGAUACAAGAUCUAAUAUGGGACAGUGCUUAUUUUUUGACUGAGCCACUUCUCACUCGCUGGCCUUUCAAUAAGAUCAGAGAAAAGGCACUUGAUGUAGCAAUUAAAGGUAUUCACUACGAAGAUGAAAAUACUCGAUACAUACAUGGUGGCUGUAUCAACAAGUCUUGCUCUUUGCUUGCUUCUUGGGUACACGAUCCAAAUGGAGAUUCCUUUAAGAAGCAUCUUGCAAGAGUCCCAGAUUAUUUAUGGCUUUCAGAAGAUGGAAUGUGUGUUCCGGGAGUUAAUACGCAAACAUGGGAUGUUGGUUUCAGUGUUCAAGCUUUUCUCGCUACGGGUCUAAUUGAUGAACUUGGUCCCACACUUGAAAAAGCACAUGAUUUUAUCAAGAAAUCUCAGGUAGUAGAAAAUCGUCCAGGAGAUUUCAAGAGUAGGUUUCAUCACAUUUCUAAAGGGGCAUGGACCUUUGCUGACAGAGACCACGGAUUACAACUUUCUGACGGCGCUGCAGAAUGUCUCAAGUGUUGUUUACUUUUAUCGAUGUUACCAAAAGAGAUUGUUGGAGAAAAAUUAGAACCUGAACGGUUAUAUGACUCGGUCAAUUUUCUGUUGUCCCUUCAGAGCAAAAAUGGAGGUUUGGCAGCGUGGGAGGCUGCAUUAGGUCAAAAGUGGUUGGAAAAUCUAAAUCCGGCGGAAUUUCUUGCUGACAUAGUGGUUGAGCACGAGUAUAUUGAGUGUACUGGAUCAACAAUUCAGGCUUUAGUAUUGUUUAAAAAGCUAUAUCCAAAUCAUAGAAGGGAAGAGAUAGAGAGGUUGAUUAUGAAAGCAGCUAAGUACAUUGAAGAUGAACAAUCACCAAAUGGAACUUGGGUUGGGAUCUGGGGAGUUUGUUUCACCUACAGUUCUUGGUUCGCACUUGGAGGUUUAGUUGCUGCUGGAAAGACUUACACUAACUGCGCCACCAUUCGUAAGGCUGUCAGAUUUCUACUCUCAAUACAGAACGAGGAUGGUGGUUGGGGAGAAAGUUAUCUUUCAUGUCAUAUGAAGACAUACGUGCCUCUUGAAGGAGAUCGAUCACAUGUUAGUCAAACAGCUUGGGCUCUAAUGGCUUUAAUUCAUGCCGGACAGGCUGAGAGAGAUCCAACACCUCUUCAUCGUGCUGCAAAGUUACUCAUUAAUUCUCAGCUUGAAGAUGGAGACUGUGGGAGCAUACAAGAGUAGUUGUUUGCUUCAUUAUCCACUCUAUAGAAGUUAUUUUUCGAUAUGGGCUUUAAGUGAAUACCGUAACAAAGUUUUAGUGUCUUGGACUACUUCGAAACUUGAGAAGUCUUAAAAUCAGUAAGACAAUGCCAUACCAUACAAAUAUCCUACAAAUAAAAUAAAAGUUGGUGAUCAACUUUAAUAACUAUUUCUAUUUUUUAUAAUUUUCAAAUUCUGAAACAAUAAGACGAGACAUGUUACUGAUGUGAUGUUUUAUUUUUAGAUGAAUCUUAUGAUGCGAGUCUUUGAUAUCAUUAUCUCAGAUUUACAAGAAAUUGAUGGCAAUGUUGUGAGGAUGAAGAUGUAGGAUGCUAAGCAUGCUUAACCAUGAAGUUCUUAUAGGUUAGGCUACCGAAAAACAAAUGCAUUUUGGUGAUAUGAGUAACCAAAUCAAUCCCUUUAAACUAUCCUUCAACUAUAUAGUCUCAUACCUAUACAGUCUCUAGAUCCCUCUCGUUCCAGUGUAUGUUCGAUUCGUCCAUAUGCCCCAAAAGUGGUUGGAAAAUCUGAAUCCGGCGGAAUUUCUUGCUGACAUAGUGGUUGAGCACGAGUGUAUUGAGUGUACUAGAUCAACAAUUCAGGCUUUAGUAUUGUUCAAAAAACUAUAUCCAAAGCAUAGAAGGGAAGAGAUAGAGAGGUUGAUUGUGAAAGCAGCUAAGUACAUUGAAGAUGAACAAUCACCAAAUGGAACUUGGAUUGGGAUCUGGGGAGUUUGUUUCACAUACAGUUCCUGGUUCGCACUUGGAGGUUUAACUGCUGCUGGAAAGACUUACACUAACCUGUCAAAUUUCUACUCUCCAUACAGAAUGAGGAUGGUGGAUGGAGAGAAAGUUAUCUUUCAUGUCCAAUGAAGGAGCGAUGAAGACGUACGUGUCUCUGGAAGUAAAUCGAUCAAAUGUAUGUCAAACAGCUUGGGCUCUAAUGGCUUUAACUUAUGCCGGACAGGCUGAGAGAGAUCCAACACCUCUUCAUCGUGCUGCAAAGUUACUCAUUAAUUCUCAGUUAGAAGAUGGCGAUUGGCCCCAACAAGAGGCUGUGAGGGCAUACAAGAGUAGUUGCUUGCUUCAUUACCCAUUUUAUAGAAGUUAUUUUCCGAUAUUGGCUUUGAGUGAAUACCGUAACAAAGUCUUAGUUCCUUGGACUAAUCCCAAACUUGAGAUGUGGUAAGAUCAGAAAGACAAUGUCAUACCAUACAAAUAUCCAACCGAUAAAAUCAAAGUUGGUGAUCAACUUUAAUAACUUUA